rnacentral:rRNA from 1 species
CCCCUAGAUGUUCUGGGCCGCACGCGCGCUACACUGAACAGUUCAACAAGUCUUAACCUUGGCCGAUAGGUCUGGGUAAUCUUUGAACGCUGUUCGUGAUUGGGAUAGACCUUUGCAAUUAUGGGUCUUCAACGAGGAAUUCCUAGUAAACGCAAGUCAUCAGCUUGCAUUGAUUACGUCCCUGCCCUUUGUACACACCGCCCGUCGCACCUACCGAUUGAAUGACUCGGUGAAAUCCCCGGACUGCAGCCUUGACACCCUCGGGUGACUCGGCAGUGGAAAGCGGAUUAAACCUCGCCAUUUAGAGGAAGGUGAAGUCGUANCA